GGGGGCAAGCGUUGUUCGGAAUUACUGGGCGUAAAGGGCUCGUAGGUGGCCAACUAAGUCAUACGUGAAAUCCCUCGGCUUAACCGGGGAACUGCGUCUGAUACUGGAUGGCUUGAGUUUGGGAGAGGGAUGCGGAAUUCCAGGUGUAGCGGUGAAAUGCGUAGAGAUCCGGAGGAACACCGAAGGCGAAGGCAGUGUCCUGGCGCGUAACUGACGCUGAGGUGCGAAAGCCAGGGGAGCGAACGGG
rnacentral:rRNA from 1 species